rnacentral:rRNA from 1 species
UACGUAGGUGGCAAGCGUUGUCCGGAUUUAUUGGGCUUAAAGGGUGCGUAGGCGGCUUUGUAAGUCAGUGGUGAAAUAUGGCAGCUCAACUGUCAAGGUGCCAUUGAUACUGCGGAGCUUGAGUACAGAUGAGGUAGGCGGAAUUGACGGUGUAGCGGUGAAAUGCUUAGAUAUCGUCAAGAACACCUAUAGCGAAGGCAGCUUACUAGGCUGUAACUGACGCUGAGGCACGAAAGUGUGGAGAGCAAACAGG